GUGCAAGCAAUCCAAUUGGCUGUCGCUAGGUGGCGCGAAUGUUUUCAGGGGACUAAAUUCGGCCAUUUUGUUCCUUGACGCAGCAGAAGUGGGAUGCCGGUCGUGACGUUUCCCAUGAUGAAAAUGUUAAGGUAUAUGGCAAUCCGUCAUAAAGGUGAUUUCAAUACCACUUUGUCAAAACAUGUAACUCGGACUUUCGAGAGCCUGUCCAUUUUGCCGAAAUGUCGUGCCUCGUGUCUUGCUGCCAGUCGUACGUCUCGUCCCUAGCAAAAGCAAAAGUCUGCUGUUGGUUAUCUUGUUGCAGCCAGGUGGAGAAAGAUGUGAUGGGGACUAAUUGAACUGUUGUAUGCAGCGUGUGGUUCCAGUGUUAUCCAGAAGUAGCUGUGCUGGCGGUAUCCUGAACUAGCAUGAAGCAGCCUGAAGUUGCCAGUGAUAUCCGGGUCGCUGACUUUAAAUAUUUUUCUGUUUGUAUUUGUGUAUUUUGCCCUGCCAAUGUUAUCCUGUGUGUGAAAUAAUCUGUUCUCUUUUGUGUGUUUUUUUUGCUCUACCAGUGAUUUCCUGUGUUGCAGUCUUGAAAUGGUUUCACUGUCGUCUUUGGCGUUUUUAUUGUGCAGUAUACGAUUGAGGCAACCUGAUCUAUGUCAGGUUUGACACAGUCGACAACUGCUAGAUUAAAUUCCGGCUUUCUG